GCAGUCAGAAGUAGAUAAAUUAGCGAUAUCAGUCUCACGUUAAGCUAGUGAUAUUGCAUCUUUGGGUGAAGUAAUCUAGGAAUCUACUUAACAGAAACAAGAGAGAAAAGUGAACAGGAAAAAAUGGAGAAAUUGUUACUUGGUUUAACGUUGACAAAGAAAGAAUUGAAGGAUACAAUUACGGUUUCCUGGAAGGAAGGGAGUUUUCUUGGAAUUGGAGGGGACCAGUUUCAAAUCUACGAUCUUUAUGAAUAUGAAACGAAUAGCGAAGAUAUUCUUCCCGUGUUCAUACAAAAAGAUUUUAACAAACCCGAUAAAAUCGUUUGCGAUUUGUAUAUUCAAUAUGGGAUAUGCAACGGAGUGCUUUUUCUGGUUUAUCACGACAAGAAACAGAAACCAUAUCAACAUCGCUUCGUUUCCAGUCAGAUGCAAAAGUCAACAAAUUCACUAAACACAUUGGUAAAUAAGCUUGGUCUGGAGUGGGCUGUUGGAGAAUAUCUCCGUGAUAUAUAAACAACAGUUUUGUGUGUUCUGAUAUUCUGUGGCAUGGAGCUUUAUCUAUAAUGACAUUAUGUCUAAAACGAAACUUUUGAGUUAGUUAAAUAGCAAUGAACCUUUUUCCUCUCUGUAUCUUUUCAGAAAGCAUUAUUUGUGUGUUUAAACUUACCAGAAAAACAUCACAUAAAAGAGAUGUUGAAAUUAGUGUUUGUGUCUACACCAUAAUGCAAACUUCUAUCACAUUGAAAUACCAUUUGAAGUAUUAAGAUACUAAAUAAUUCAAAUAUAAUGUAGUAAGUUACUGUUCUAUGGGCAGCAUUGAGUAAGUAUAAAACAUCCAUGAGUUAGUAUCCUACCAGUAGUAUAUAAUGAAGUGUCCCCUCCCGAUGAUUUGCCCCAAAUCGAUUAUUUUUCCCCGAAACCGAUAUUUUACCCAUAGGUAAAAAGAGUAUAGAGGUCAAGGGAAAUAAAUAUUACAAAAACUUGAGAUAAAUAUUCAAGAAGAGCUAUUUUUUAACAAAUACUGCAUUUCUGAAUCUUUGAGAACGGGUUUGUUCUACUGGAACCAUUUCCACCGAUCAGUUGAGAGCUGGAGCAAUUUGAGAGGUAAAACGAAUUCUGUUUUAUACCUCAUUUCCUGUCUAGACUUGUCAUUUGAUACAAAGUGACCACAUGUAUAACAUUAAAGAGAAGCAGACUUUACGACAGAACUAUUUUGUUUCUAAAUUAUUUUGAAAAUUCCAAAGAUGAAAAAAAAAAGAUGAAUCGAACCCCGGACCGCCGCGGCAAUAAAGACAUUCUCCCGUCGUCGUAACCAAUAGCGCUAUAUCUGAAGUUGUGAAUAAUGACUUCUAAAUAUAGAUAUUUAUAAUCGAGACAGUUUACUUGGAGUAAAAGCGUGACAAAUGUUUAUCAAUUUCCAUCGUAAAAGGUAGUAAAAAGCAAAUUCUCAUAUGUUUCCGAAACAUAAAGUUUGUCAGUUAUUAAGUUUUAAAGCCUUCUAAAGAAAUAUAGCAUUUAUUUCAAGAUAUCUAAAAACAAAUAAUUUUGUUGUCCAAAGAUCUGUAGGUCCAUCGCUUUAAAGUAAGACUGCUAUAGAUAUAAGAAGGUAAUAAAACGAGUAUCAUUACAUGGGAUAGUCGUAGAAUCGAAAGUUGUAUAAAGAUUUUUGAAGACAUAUUAAGUAGUUGAUAUUUGGCAAAGAUAGUCAUUUGAAGUUGUGCUUUUUCUCCUCAUUUUUCUUUUGUAGUGCUAUUUCCUCAUUUUAAAGAUGAACCUGUAUUUCAUUUAGCCGCUAUUUAUUUUCCUAUUUUUGAUAAAAUCUGCUAUUUAAAUAUGAGAGUAUGUUAACAUGUCAGAGGUCUGCAAUUUCAAUAUGAGUGUGUUUAUCUUAUAAUCAUGCAUUUAAAAGUAUUCAAAAAAAUCUCAUCUUUUCCCUUUAAGGUAUUAUUUAACACCGAGUAAAAACACAAUUUUACAUAAUUGUAUUCAAGCUACUGAGGAAAAAAAGAACUCUGCACAUAUUUCCUUUCUAGAUAUAUGAUACUAAUACAUGUAUAUUGCGGUUACCUCUUUGCUGCAACAAAACUCUUAUCUUUUGAAUACACCUUAUAGGGAAAUUGGGGAGUGAUAUAGUGAUACAUGUACCUGGAAUUUGUUACUGUGUUACAGUGUUUAUUUAACAAGUAAGAAUAUUUAUAACCAUUCUAGCAUAAAACUGCUGUUAUUGCCACAUUUCGUGGGUGUUUUAACAGGAAAGAAAAUGUGUGUUAACAGAGAGAUUCUCGCGCUCACGUGCUGUUAUAACACCUUUUUAUACAUGCGAGUUCCGUGGCAAAGCGUAAACGUCAUUCGGCCCCAAAACGGAUAAUUCAAAACAAAAUGACGUCAACGUAAAAAAACAACUCAGACAUUCCCGCGCAUUUCAUGGAAAUUUAAUGACGUUAAGGUAGGAUGUAUUCAUUUAUUAGUAUUUGUUCCGCGUUUUAUGCUAGAAUAGCGUUAGCGCAUGUUCAUUUCAUGUUAUAACAUCUGCAGAAUCCCUCGGGAUACGUUGGUAUCCUCGCCCUACGGGCUCGGGCACCAACCAAUCCCUCGGGAUUCUGCAGACGUUAUAACACGAAAAAACAUGAGUUAUUCCUACAUAGGUCAAUGAUUAUGACUUUCUAUGAGGGCUGUUGUGAACAUAUGUAACGGAGAUAACCUUAGUAAUUAGUUCAAAUGCGUGAUCACACUUCCAAAUAAUAACCAAAUUCUCUGAAAUACUUUGAAGUACGAACAUAUUUUUUCUUACUCUUAAAAGGUUAACUCUUGAAAAAUAUUUAUGCUUGCCACAGUAAUAUGAAAUAUACACCUUAAGAAAUAAAUUUAAGGAAGCUGAAAAUACGAAAAUACGGCAGUUUUAUACAUUUUUGAAUUUCAUCGCAACCUUUAUAAACAAAUCAUUAUUACGUAAUGGGAAUCCCUGUUUAUCAUUUAAUAGGUAUAAUCUAGUUACGGUUAAUGGCUUUGUCUUAUUUUCAAAACGUUAUGAAAUUGUCAUGUUUUCAAGUAUUUUCAGCUGCAAUAUAUUCGUAGAUAUUGACGGUUAUCAAAGGGUAUCAGUUAAGUAUAUGUCACAUUGACACUGCUGGACCUCUACUUUCAUUUUGGUGCUUUUUUCAUAAUUGUUUUAGUAAAUAGCUUCAGUUCAAAGCUAAACUUUCAUAUGAUGAACAUUGCAUGUUUAACGAGAGCCUAUUAUUGAUAUUUACUUGACCUAACAAUGCGCCUUUCUUUUAACAGAAACAAUGGAUGACUUUUUACUUGGUUGGUUUGAAGUUGACAAAAAAAGAAAGGAAGGAUACCAUCACUGUUUCCUGGAAGUGACGAAGUGGUGACUUUAUAUUUAGUCAUCCUCACUAUAUGUACUAAACGUACUGCUCACAGCUAGGGGUGUUCGUCAAAUCUUUAAGCAAGGAAGUUUUCUUGGUAUUGGAGGGGACCGGACUCAAAUCUACGAACUAUAUGAAUAUGAAACGACUGGCGGACGCAUUCUUCCCAUCUACAUACAAACAGAUUUUGACAAAUCCGACAUAAUUUUCUGCGAUUGGCGUAUACAAUAUGGGAUGAACAACGAGGUACUUUUUCUGGUUUAUCACAACAAGGAACAGAAACCAUAUCAACAUCGCUUCGUUUCCAGUAAGAUGCAAAAGUCAACAAAUCCACUAAACACAUUGGUAAACGAGCUUGAUCUGGCGUGGGUUGCUGGAGAAUAUCUCCGUGAUAUAUAAACAAAAGUUGUGUGUGUCCUGAUACUUAAUCAGGGGCAUGGAUCUUUAUCUGUAAUGAUAUAAUGCCUCGAAACGAUAACUUUGAGCAUAUAAAAAUUAACAUUUUCCUUUUAAAAACGUUUUAUUUUUUGGUUAAGCUCACUUAAACGAGAUGUUGAAAUACCACUAGUGCUGGUGUCUUUGGCUGGUUACAGUAUACCUAAAUAUACAUUCACAUUGAAAUAAAAAAAACGUAAGAAAACUAGAUCUCAUUCAAAAAAUAAUGCUGCUGCUUAAAUACCGUUUGAACUACAGAAUGUAUUAAUAUACUGUUUCUAAGGGAAUACUUUUCGCAGGUCUGAAUAAAUUCACGGCUUCUUAUGAGGCUUUUUCUUAACCCAUAUACUAAGCCCGCGGCAGCGAUUUUCUCAUGUUCUAAACAUUUGCCAGAAUAACCAAUAUUGCAUUUUGAUAACAAUAUAUGUUCAUAUGUUUUUCACCGUCAAUUUAUAAAAUAUAAAAUUGUCAUUUCUGGAAAAGAAUCCGUUGUUAUUUGACAAUUAUUUCAGGAACAUUGUUCUGUGACAGCGCACUUUUAUCAUAAAUUUGUAAAGAAAUAGUUUUACGAUAAAAAUGUCGUAAAAAUAGUUCAUC